rnacentral:rRNA from 1 species
ACCCGCCGAACUUAAGCAUAUCAGUAAGCGGAGGAAAAGAAACUAACUAGGAUUCCCCGAGUAACGGCGAGUGAAAGGGGAGAAGCCCAGCGCCGAAGCCCGCGGCCUCUGGUCGCAGUGCAAUGUGGCGUUUCGGCGGCGCCUCGCCGCAGGUCGUUCUGGCGCGCGUACCUCUGAACGGGUCUGCCCACAGCGGGUGUCAGGCCUCUAGUCGCCACACGGACGGCCUCGGCCCGGCGUCGCCGCGGAGUCGGGUUGCUUGAGAGUGCAGCCCAAAGUGGGUGGUAAGCUCCAUCUAAGGCUAAAUACCUAGUGCGAGACCGAUAGCAAACAAGUACCGUGAGGGAAAGUUGCAAAGAACUUUGAAAAGAGAGUUCAAGAGUACGUGAAACCGCUCAGAGGCAAACGGACGGAACUGGGCGAGUUCGGCGUCGUCGUUCAGCGCGCGCUCACGGCCAGCGGCCGGGGCGCGCGUGCACUCGGCGGCGCCGGAGCGCGGCGACCGCCUGCGCGGCCUUCGGAAGCGCCUCGGCAAGGUGGCCGCGGGCUCGUGCCCGCGGUGUUACAGGCCGGGGUGGCGUCGUUGGCUGCGCGGGCGAGGAGCGCCCGCGGCGCACUCACGGCCAUCGCGGCCGAGCGGGUCGCGGUCGGGGGCUGGUCGGCCGCGUCGGCAAGCUGUCUCGCAGCUUGUUGGCGCGCGCCCGUCCUGUCGCCCGGCCCGGUCCCGCGCGUUGCGCCCGGGGUCCUGGCCGCGUGGUUCCCGGCACUCCGUCCGACCCGUCUUGAAACACGGACCAAGGAGUUGAGCGCGCGCGCGAGUCGAUGGGCCUACCGAACCCCAGUGGCGCAGCUAAGGCAAAACGGGUGUGAUCCGUCACCAGCGUGGCGGCGCAACACCGGCCCGCGGCGUGCUCGUUGCGAGCGGCCGCGGCGCAAGAGCGCGUGCGCUCAGACCCGAAAGGUGGUGAACUAUGCUUGAGCAGGGCGAAGCCAGAGGAAACUCUGGUGGAGGCUCGCAGCGAUCCUGACGUGCAAAUCGGUCGUCAAACUUGAGCAUAGGGGCGAAAGACUAAUCGAACCACCUAGUAGCUGGUUCCCUCCGAAGUUUCCCUCAGGAUAGCUGGCGCUCGCUUUGACUGGUUUCAUCCGGUAAAGCGAAUGAUUAGAGGCAUUGGGGACGAAACGUCCUCAACCUAUUCUCAAACUUUAAAUGGGUGAGAAGCGUCGCCCUUCCCGAGCGGGGCGACGUGCGCGAACAGUCGAGUGCCCAGUGGGCCGUUUUUGGUAAGCAGAACUGGCGCUGUGGGAUGAACCAAACGCGCGGUUAGGGUGCCGAACGAACGCUCAUGAGAUACCACAAAAGGUGUUGGUUGAUAUAGACAGCAGGACGGUGGCCAUGGAAGUCGGAAUCCGCUAAGGAGUGUGUAACAACUCACCUGCCGAAUCAACUAGCCCUGAAAAUGGAUGGCGCUGGAGCGUUCGACCCAUACCGCGCCGUCGGGGCAACGCGUGCGAAAUGCCAGGCCCCGACGAGUAGGAGGGCGUGUCGGUGGCGUUGAAGCGUAGUGCGCGAGCACGCGUGGAGCCGCCUUCAGUGCAGAUCUUGGUGGUAGUAGCAAGUAUACAAAUGAGAACUUUGUAGACCGAAGUGGAGAAGGGUUCCAUGUGAACAGCAGUUGGACAUGGUUAAGUCGGCCCUGAGAGAUCGGAGAGCUCCGUUCUGAACGGGGAGCCGGCUGCCGUGAGCGAGCGAGCGAGUGCGCUGGCGAGAGAGCGCUGGCGCGCGGAUCUCACCCGCCGGUCGAACGACCUUCCCGUCGCGACCGCGGGCGCGACCGCCGACGGCGACGCGGGGAGCGUGCGCGCGCGCGUCUGAACCGCCUUCGCCAGCCUAGACCGCCCCAGUCAGAGAGAGCGGAGGGCUGAGCGACGACAGAGCGCGCGUGCGCGCGACUUUCCCGCGCAACGUCCCACAGAGCGGCGGCGUGUCCCGCGCCCAAAAGGGGCGGGUGCGGAGAGCGCGCGAGCGCGCCAGAGCGAGUGCGAGCGAGCGAUCGGCGGACGCGCGUCGCCCUGUACCGAUCGAAAGGGAAUCGGGUUAAUAUUCCCGAACCUGACGGUGGAGAUCGGGCCCUCGGGCCCCAGUGCGGUAACGCGACCGAACACGGAGACGCCAGCGUCGAUCCCGGGAAGAGUUCUCUUUUCUUUGUUAGGAGCGGACUCCCUGGAAUUGGCUUGUCCAGAGAUAGGGACGUUGCAUCCGUAAAGCGUCGCGCCUCACGCGGCGUCCGGUGCAUCGGCGUUGGCCCUUGAAAAUCCGUGGGAGGCAGUGUAAUUUUCACGUCAGGCCGUACCGGAAUCCGCAGCAGGUCUCCAAGGUGAACAGCCUCUGGUCGAUAGAACAAUGUAGGUAAGGGAAGUCGGCAAAUCCGAUCCGUAACUUCGGGAUAAGGAUUGGCUCUGAGGUGCGGGCUGCUUCGGGUCGCGGCAAGAAGCGAAC